rnacentral:lncRNA from 1 species
ACAGUUCAUUCUUUUUCUCUCUGGAUUUUGCAAUAGGAUGUCAAAGAAACAAAACGUUCAGGCAUGUCACAACGAGACUCUGUUAUCUAAGAGAUGCUCCUCAUCAGACCUGUGCUCCAGACCUCUCAACAGCUUCACUGCCCUUCUCUGGACAUGCUUGUAGAGGAUGAAAGAAUGCGCCUCUUUAAAUUGGCAGCUCCACUGAAGUUUCACCAGCUUCUUCAUGUCUUUCUUGCACCCAGGGCCCAAAAAGGGAUGUAUGGCGUCUCAGACCCCUGUGAUUCAUGAUGUUACUUCAGUAGUAGACCAUUUCACUUCAUUUCACUUCUCCAGCUUUUGAUAGGCUUCAAUGCAUUGUCUCCUGAUGUUCCUGAAAGUAUGAAGUAUUUUCUGCUAUUUCAAGGUGUUCUCUAGCCUGUCUGCUACAAUAUGAAGAAGGACUCAGUGGCAGCAUUGAAUAAUUAUUUACAGAAGAGGUAAAAAAAAAAUUUUAGUUAUACAAGAGUGUGCAUGUCACACUUGUAGAAAUCUGCACCAGAGGAGGUGACCCACUGUUGCUAUCAUCACUGCUAAAAUGCACCACCCACUGUUUAUUGUGCUCACAUCCACUCUUUGAUCUCUAGAAAUGUUCAGCAAGCAUCAGUGAACAUCAAUGGGUGCCAUUUUUUCCGCAUGGAGGGAUUCAGUCACACACUUUUUCUUCAUAUGCACUUCCACACCAUUUUAUCAGACUGCUUCUCUGCUGCCAUCUGUCACGCAGCAACGAAAUGUAAUGAAAUGUUAAUGGGAAGGUUCAACCUCUACUGCCAUACCACCAUCAACCACUUCUAACGUCAUGGACCAUUAUAAUAAGAUAGAAGACAUUACUUUUGGAGAAGCUCUCAUACUUUUGUCACAAUAUAAGCUCUUCAUUGCUACUGGCAAUAUCUACUACUACAAGACCUAAAAUAAAUUACAUCUUUCGAGCUGAAAAACUGAUAGCUUGGAUUGGCAGUUUGUGAAAGUGCAUCAUACAGAAGAAGGGAAGAGCUUCAUAUAUUUGCUGACAUUCAGUCUUUGCUCUUGUAUUUUCUAGACUGGCAAAUAAUUGUGGAACAGAGAUGCAUAAAGAAACCUUUCUAAAGGGAGCAGUGGAUCUGUUCUUAAGACUGAUGACAAUUUCCUGGCUCUCCAUGGUAUUACUCCUGUCUAAAACACUAUUCUGUAUGUCAUUUCCUACUGCAUGUUUUUCUUUACCUCAAGUC